GUCCGACGCUGGAGAAAGGUAAAUGCUGAAGACACACACACACACUCUCACGAACAGAAGCAUACACACUAGCUAACAGACACACACAUUUACUGACAGACACACUCAGCGACAGACAUACAUACACACUCACUUACAAAACAUACACUUUCACUGACAAACACACACUCACUAACAGACAUCAAACACACUCAGUAACACACUCACUAGCAGACACACACCCAAUAACAGACACACUCACUAACACACACACAAUAACACAUACACUAACAUAUACUAACACACACACAUACACUAACACACAAACAUACACUUUUUUUAAAAUGUAAUCCCCCCAGCCUCCUUACCUUUUGGAGUGCUGGGGGGAUUCCCUGGGGUCCAGUGGUGCUGCUGGGCUCCUGGUCAC